rnacentral:rRNA from 1 species
UAUGGUAAUUGCCAGCCGCCGCGGUAAUACGUAGGGAGCGAGCGUUGUCCGGAAUUACUGGGUGUAAAGGGAGCGUAGGCGGGAUCGCAAGUCAGAUGUGAAAACUAUGGGCUUAACCCAUAAACUGCAUUUGAAACUGUGGUUCUUGAGUGAAGUAGAGGUAAGCGGAAUUCCUAGUGUAGCGGUGAAAUGCGUAGAUAUUAGGAGGAACAUCAGUGGCGAAGGCGGCUUACUGGGCUUUAACUGACGCUGAGGCUCGAAAGCGUGGGGAGCAAACAGG